UACAGCAGAACAUUACCUAACAAUGCAAGACAAGGUCAUUAAACAUUGAUGAUACAUCAGAACAUUACCUAACAAUGCAAGACAAGGUCAUUAAACAUCGAUGAUACAGCAGAACAUUACCUAACAAUGCAAGACCUGGUCAUUAAACAUCGAUGAUACAUCAGAACAUUACCUAACAAUGCAAGACAAGGUCAUUAAACAUCGAUGAUACAUCAGAACAUUACCUAACAAUGCAAGACCUGGUCAUUAAACAUCGAUGAUACAUCAGAACAUUACCUAACAAUGCAAGACCUGGUCAUUAAACAUCGAUGAUACAGCAGAACAUUACCUAACAAUGCAAGACCUGGUCAUUAAACAUCGAUGAUACAGCAGAACAUUACCUAACAAUGCAAGACCUGGUCAUUAAACAUCAGAACAUUACCUAACAAUGCAAGACCUGGUCAUUAAACAUCGAUGAUACAUCAGAACAUUACCUAACAAUGUAAGACAAGGUCAUUAAACAUCGAUGAUACAGCAGAACAUUACCUAACAAUGCAAGACCUGGUCAUUAAACAUCGAUGAUACAGCAGAACAUUACCUAACAAUGCAAGACAAGGUCAUUAAACAUCGAUGAUACAGCAGAACAUUACCUAACAAUGCAAGACCUGGUCAUUAAACAUCGAUGAUACAGCAGAACAUUACCUAACAAUGCAAGACCUGGUCAUUAAACAUCAGAACAUUACCUAACAAUGCAAGACCUGGUCAUUAAACAUCGAUGAUACAUCAGAACAUUACCUAACAAUGCAAGACAAGGUCAUUAAACAUCGAUGAUACA